GACGAACCGUGCGAACGUUAUUCGGAAUCACUGGGCUUAAAGCGCGUGUAGGCGGCCUGGAGCGUCAGCAGCUGAAAUCCCCCGGCUCAACCGGGGAACGGGCUCUGAAACGUCCAGGCUGGAGGGGGGUAGGGGGUGCGGGAACUCACGGUGGAGCGGUGAAAUGCGUUGAGAUCGUGAGGAACGCCCGUGGCGAAAGCGCGCACCUGGACCCCGCCUGACGCUGAGACGCGAAAGCUAGGGGAGCGAACGGG
rnacentral:rRNA from 1 species